GGCUGAUUGGUCUAGUGGUAUGAUUCGCGCUUCGGGUGUGCGAGGUCCCGGGUUCAAUCCCCGGAUCAGCCC
rfam:Catenaria anguillulae PL171 BCR44scaffold_405, whole genome shotgun sequence.